UAUGUGGACCGACUGUCUAAGCAGUUCUGCAGAAAAGGACCUGGGGAUUAUGAGAAGCUGUAUAUGAAUCAGCAGUGUGCCUUCGUUGCCAAGAAGUUUAACAGCACAUUGGGCUGCAUUAGUAGGAGCAUUGCCAGCAGAUUGAGGGAAGAUUCCCCUCUACUCAGCACUGAGCGGAGAGCGGGCACAGCAGGACCUGGGAUGGAAGGAAUUUGCUGGCUGCUUUUGAGUGGUGCAGGGCCAGGGUGGGGUGAGCCUGCCUUAGCCCCACUGCACCAACACCCGAGAGCCACCUGAGGUUGGCGACAACUGUUCUAAGGAGCUGCAAAAAAAAUACAAACCAAUGCUGCCUUAAGUAGCUAGCCAUGUUAUAUCCAUGAGUCUGAUCUGCUGUAUGUUCUUCUCUUCCAGCUGGUCAUUCCGUCCUUCCAGGGACAGGAAAUGGCAGCUGUGGAGCCAGCUGAGGUAGGUAUUAUUAGGGAGUUGCUGGUGGAUUCCUGUUGGAAGGAGAAGGGCAGUAAAAUCUGGAGGGGGCACUUCUGGGAAGUAGCCCUGGAGUUGGGUGAGGGCAGGAAGUCAACAGGGUGGAGACAGGGAGGGAGCAGGGUGUGAUAAACCUGCUGGAAUUUGUUUACUGUGGAAUUUAGAUCCUAAAAUCAGACCCCUGGGUUUGUAGAAGGGAACUGCCUAAUCAGUGGAACAGCAAAUGACCACCUGGACAUGUCUGGGAAAGCUCGCCAGAGUUGCAGGUUCAGGCUCUGAUGUUCAAGUUGCACCUCUGUAGACCAGCAACAUCCCUGGUCCUAUUUGAUCUGAGUUAGCCGGAUGUCCACUUAUCAUGGUUGUGGCCAAGUUUUGUGCGGUCCCAACAAGUUUGUUUACAGC